UAACAAUGACGCAGUUUAAAACAGGGAAGAAGUGUUAUGUUACCGACCUGAAUCACAGCCUCCAGUCUUGGGAGAUCCAGCUCCAAGAUGUGAAAGUAGCCCAGCAUGAAGAGAUCCAGGGUCAGGCUGUCGUAGUCGACUGGCACCCCGUCCAGACGAGCAGCCGCGCCUGCAGUUGCCUCACCAUGACUUGCCUCUUCCACUCAGCGAUGGAAUGACCUUUCUCGUCGUGGGUGGGCACCAG